GAAGCCGGCCGGGUGGCCGCCGUGGUCCCCUCGGGGGCCGCGGAGGAAAGUCCGGGCUCCACAGGACAGGGUGCCAGGUAACACCUGGGGGGCGUGAGCCUACGGAAAGUGCCACAGAAAACAGACCGCCUACCCCGCCGCGAGGCGGGCGGCAAGGGUGAAAAGGUGCGGUAAGAGCGCACCGCGCCGGCCAACGCCGGUGGCAGGGUAAACCCCACCCGGAGCAAGACCAAAUAGGGGAACGAGCCGUCAGGCGCCGCGUGGUCCGCGCGGGUUCCCGGGUAGGUCGCAACAGGCCCAUGGCGACAUGGGUCGCAGAUGAAUGGUCACCGCCCUCCCUCCGGGGAGGGUACAGAACCCGGCUUACAGGCCGGCUUCCUCC
rnacentral:RNase_P_RNA from 1 species